UCAUGUUUUUUUUUAAAUUUUUUUUUUUAUUAAGAUGCAACGAUAUUGCACUGAAGCUGCGACUAAUAGAAAAGUAAUAAUUGGUGUAAACAGUUUUCAAGUGGAUCUGUUUUUGUCUAGGAGGAGCUAAAUUUGGCCUGGGUUGUUAGUGGAAGUUAACAGUGAGUCAUCACCAGGUCAAAGAAAGAAAGCACAUCUGUGCCACACACUUUGGGAGAUGCAAGCUCAGCCGUUUCGGGCCCCUCGCGCACUUGAAGAUAUCUGCGUGCAGGUCGUUGAUGGAUGCACUGUGACUGGACGCAGCUCACAUCGACAGGCAUCUGAGGAAUCUGUCUAAGUAGCUCAACGAUACACUGGCGCAAACACACACCGACACGCCGUUCCUAGGCAGUGCCGCUGCUGCUGCUGCGCGUUCUCGUGACGUUGAAAGCUGCACCUGAACACGUCCGGCUAGUGAUUUGGCGUCUGCGGGCUCCCUUGGCUGCCAUCUCUCUUUCCCAUCCAUCAUGAUGUGAGAUGCCCGCGUCAACCCCUUGAGGUGGUUUCACUAAAUGCGCAAUAUGUGGAUGGAGCAACAAGCAACGGACGUCAACAGAGCAUCGAAUCCGUUCAAAGCUCUGCUGUGUUGUGCUAUGGUGUGGUUGGGAGGCUGGAGUGUGAAGACUGACAAGUGUGGCCAGACAGCUGUGAGUGAGGGCCACUCGCUGCUCUGUCAGGGAUGGAAUCAGAGGCACUGGACUGAGGCCCGCCAUCCUCUGUUACUCCUACUUGUCAGCUUUUCUCUCUCUAAUGGCUUCCCAUGUGGAGAACGGUCCAAGUGAAGAGGGAAAGUACAUAUUCUGCCGAACACUUGUCCGUAGGUCUGGUGGCAAACUGCAAAUGAAGCGACGCACCCGUCUGAAAACAUCUCAAAGAUCAGUGAGCUUCAGAACAUCUGUUCCUCUCCGUUAGGGUGGCGGUGGUUUGCUCCUGAAGUGAAAAAAAAAAAAAAGAAUGAUCUUUUCAAACUUCUUUUCCUUUGGAAUGAAAUGUUUUGACUUGGAAGUCGACCAGCAACGUGGAAGAGAUUUUGCUCAACCGUACAUUUGUUAACCGUCUUCUCAGGAUGUCAUACUUGAAGCAAAAAAAAAAUAAAGAAAUAACUAAAUCCCC